AGUGUUCAGGUGGACCCCGAAGAAGUGCACGCUAUGGCAAAGAUGGCGGACAAGAGCUUCGAGGUUCCGCUGGAGAGGGCCGCGCUGGUCGAGUGGGGUUUCCAGGGCAUCCAGGGUACAAGCGACGGAAGGAGGCAGCGAACCGCCGCGCUACGUAGGCCGAGCUCAACAGCGAAGACACGAUAACUCAUACUACCAACGGGCCCAAAGCCGGCAGCCUGAGCGCCAGGACCAAGGCAGCAAAGUUCUCUCCACGGGUGCAGCGUUAAAACACAGUACAAGUUUACCUCACAAAAAAAGGGGGAAAAGAAAAAAGAAGAAAAAAAGUCAAGCUAACCAAAUAAAUAGGACCAUGCAAACAAACCCCAGAGUGUGGUUUCACACUUUUCGAAGGAGCUGUGUGAGAAGUGACGUAUCCCAGGAUGCUGUUCUGUUCUGUUCGUUUCCUGGGCCAGUCGCAACAUGAGCUCAUGCUCCUCGUCACCUUAACCAGGGAAAACCCUAACCCCCUAGGUGUUUUCCACAUUUUUGACCAACACAGUGAAAAUAAAAACUGAAAACUGCAUAACGUGUCAAGAGCAACAGUAAAAAAAUCACGAGAACACACUCCGAAAAGUGAGAACAGCAGCAAAUAGAAGGACAUGUGGCAGGAUAACUGGUAGAAGCCAUAAACUUUAUGAUUAACCUGUAUUCAGGUGACACUUCCUCUAGAGGGACUUUUAGGGUUGUGUAAUAAACUACUUAUUUGUGUAAAAAAAAAAAAAAAAAAAAAACUUGUCGUCGUUCAGAAAAAUACCAAAAAUGCAUAAACCCUGAAGGCUGAAAGAAGUAUUAUGGUCUGUGUACCCUCUUUUUCUCUAGCUGGACUAGUUUUUGCUUGCAAGUAGCUCGCCGUCUUGUUUAAUCUGUAACGGUACGGGCAAUAAUCUCCUCGGGUUCAUUUCCACCACCGCAUUGCUCCACAUGUACGUAUAACACGAAAGCACUUGACACAACUAGAAGCGUCGCGUGCUGCAACCUCAGGGUUCGCAUAUUCAGACAACACCUCCGCGUACAGGUGUUUCUCCACUUGUGACAAGGCCUUCGGAAGAGGAACCCCAUCACAAAUCCCCUUAUGUGACAUGAACCAUAAGGAAAGUAAACAAUUAACAAGCAUGAAUCCUUGACCAUAUAAUAGGGCUUUAACAUAACUUUCCACUAAUUUCCCAUCAACGCAAACAUAGCAUAAUAACAAAUGCAGCGCAGUGCUACAUUUUCACGCUGAAAUACUGUUUUUGCACUCAUUUCCCGAUCAUUUUCCACUUUUUUAGCACCACAAAAAUGCUUUUGUAAACAAAACAAUCACCGUUAGACGCCCAAAACCUAAGAGACACAAUCAACAGCAAAUAUGCAGCCGUGUGGCAGCGCGGCAAGCCGAUGUUAUCGUGGAGCAGUCGCCGUCAGACGUUACAAACAAAUGUUGAAACUUGAAAAUAAUACAAUAAGAUUAAUGGGAAAACGCGCAGGCUCCACACGGACAGCCACGUUCGAACCCGUGCCCAACCAACCCAGGUGCCGUGAGGUAGCAGUGCUACCUGUUGUGCCACCUCGAGCUAAUAGCGGAGAGAAGAAGGG